rnacentral:rRNA from 1 species
UACGGGGGGGGCAAGCGUUGUUCGGAAUUACUGGGCGUAAAGGGCGCGUAGGCGGCCUGCUAAGUCGGACGGGAAAUCCCUCGGCUCAACCGGGGAACUGCGUCCGAUACUGGUGGGCUCGAAUCCGGGAGAGGGAUGUGGAAUUCCAGGUGUAGCGGUGAAAUGCGUAGAUAUCUGGAGGAACACCGGUGGCGAAGGCGGCAUCCUGGACCGGUAUUGACGCUGAUGCGCGAAAGCCAGGGGAGCAAACGGG